GUAAGGGUCCGUAAUGGAUGGCUUGGCGCAAGGAGAAUUAAGGACGGUUCCUUAACCGCCGAAAUGCUCGGGGAGCUGGUAAGGAAGCUGUGAUCCGGGCGUCUCCGAAGGGGAAACCUGCCCUUUUUAGGGCUUAAACAACGUCCCGAAGUGAAACAUCUCAGUAGGGACAGGAAAAGAAAUCAAAAUGAGAUUCCCUUAGUAGCGGCGAGCGAACGGGGAAAAGCCUAAACCGUUACUAUGUUAAAGGUGGCAGCCGUUGUAGUAGCGGGGUCGUGGGAUACUACCGGAAAGCUCUGCCAGGCUUUCGGGUUUAAUCUAUUAUUUAGCAGAAGAGGUCUGGAAUGGCCUGCCAUAGAGGGUGAAAGCCCCGUAUGCGAAAAAUAAUAGAUUAACCUGGGUAGUAUUCCCAAGUAGCACGGGACACGUGGAAUCCUGUGUGAAUCUGGGGGGACCAUCCUCCAAGGCUAAAUACUCCUUGCGACCGAUAGUGAACAAGUACCGUGAGGGAAAGCUGAAAAGUACCCCGGGUAGGGGAGUGAAAUAGGACCUGAAAUUGCGGACCUACAAACCGUUCGAGAGUUGCUUACGGGAUGGUAAGCACUUGAGAGCGUGCCUUUUGCCUAAUGAGCCUGCGAGUUGUCGUCAGUGGCAAGGCUAAGGGGUGUUAUACCUGGAGCCGUAGCGAAAGCGAAUGGUCUGAAUAGGGCCAAUAGUCGCUGGCGGCAGACCCGAAACGGGACGAUCUAUCCCUGCUCAGUGUGAACGACGGCCAAAACCGUCGGGAGGCGCGAACGGGUCGGUGUUGCAAAACCGUCCGAUGAGGUGGGGAUAGCGGUGAAAAGCCAAUCGCGUUCCGUGAUAGCUGGUUCUCCCCGAAAUGCGUCUAGGCGCAGCGUCCUUGUUUAAGAUAAUAUGGGGGUAGAGCACUGUUGAGGCUAGGGGGUUAACAGCCUACCAAACCUCGACAAACUCCGAAUACCAUAUUAUCAAAGGGCAGUGAGACCAUGAGCGAUAAGGUCCAUGGUCAAGAGGGAAUGAGCCCAGACCGUCGGCUAAGGUCCCCAAAUCUGAGCUAAGUGGGGAAGGAAGUGCUCUCUCGAAGACAGCCAGGAGGUUAGCUUAGAAGCAGCUAUCCUUUAAAGAGUGCGUAAUAGCUCACUGGUCGAGAGAGAGUGCGCCAAAGAUUCAACGGGGCUAAGCUCAGUACCGAAGCCACGGGCUCGUAUUGUUUAGCAAUACGAGCGGUAGGGGAGCGUUGCUUACUAAUAAAGCCUAGAGCGUAAGCUCGGGUGAUGGAGUAAGCAAGUGCGAAUGCAGGCAUGAGUAGCGUAAAGACAGGUGAGAAUCCUGUCCGCCGCAAAUCCAAGGCUUCCAACGCUAUGUUCGUCAGCGUUGGGUUAGGCGGGACCUAAGGUCAACCCGAAAGGGGUAGCCGAAAGGACAGACGGUUAAUAUUCCGUCCCCUGUAUAUACUGUUGAAAGUUUGGUUGCGGCAUUAGUUAAGCCUUACGGGCAAGUGGUAUGCUUGGUUCGUAGGCGUAAGCCGAAGAAGGACGUCCCUUUUAGGGGCUACUAGGUGAGCUAAUGUCCAAGAAAAGACCAAACUGGAGGUAUAUACAGCCCGUACUGGAAACCGACACUGGUGGAUGGGCAGAGUAUGCUAAGGCGUGCGUGAGAACCCUCCCUAAGGAACUCGGCAAAUUGGCCCCGUAACUUCGGGAGAAGGGGUGCCCUCUGGUUUUCAGAGGGUCGCAGCUAAGCGGUCCUGGCGACUGUUUAACAAAAACACAGGUUUCUGCUAAGCCGUAAGGCGAUGUAUAGGGGCUGACGCCUGCCCGGUGCCCGAAGGUUAAGGUGAGGGCUUAGCGGGAGUAAUCCUGCGAAGGUCUGAGCCUAAGCCCGGGUAAACGGCGGCCGUAACUAUAGAACCGUCUGUAGUUACGUAAAUAAACUUAGCUAUAUGCUGGGAAGCCCGGUGUAUCUCUGAUUACUCGCCGCUAGGUAUAUGCUAUUAUUAAAUUAAAUUAUAAUAAUAUAGAUUAUCCUUUUAGGGGGUUAAAAGAUAGUUAUUAAGAGCAUAUACCGAAGAAGGUGGCAGUAAAAAUAUCAGAGUGCGGGCAAUCAGCAGGAAAGGAGUGAAUCUCAUGCUAAAAGUAAAAGAGAUCCCUCCAGAAAUAGGAUAUUAUCUGGCAGGAUUUGCUGAUGGAGAAGGUAGUUUUAAUGUAGUGUUUCGUCCAAGAAAUGAUUAUUCUAUGCCUUGGAAAAUUUCAUUGUGUUUUAAUAUUUCACAACGUGAUCCAGUAAUUUUAGCUCUAUUUAAAAGGUAUUUAAAAUGUGGUACAAUGAGAAGAAGAAAAGAUGGAGUAUGGUAUUAUGAAGUUAAUAAUCUUCGCGCAAUAAAAGAAAAUGUUAUUCCUUUUUUUAAACGCUUUAAUUUUUUAUCUGCAAGAAUGAAAAGAAAUUUUUCAAAAUUCAUACAGAUAAGUGAAUUAAUGGAAGAAGGAAAGCAUUUAACACGUGAAGGCAUAGAAGAAAUAUUGAAAAUAAGAAGAAAAAUGAAUAAUGGUGGGAAGAGAAAAUAUAGUGAUGAAGAAAUACGCAUGAGGUUCACUAAUCCUCAGAGACCAUACGCUAAGCCUUCUGAAGAUAUUGAAAAUUCAGAAGGAUGAGAUGGUCCGAACUGCAUGGCGACAUGCAGAGGCAGGCAGAAAUGACCUGCCCGCUCUACACAAUAAAAGUGUAGAGAGGUAACAGAGUGAACGGUUAUUUCGUGCUACCAGAGUGGCCG
rnacentral:rRNA from 1 species